GACCUGAUAUCAGGCA
rnacentral:rRNA from 1 species